GUUGCCCAGAGAUGGUCACCCAAGAGGGGGGUGAAUUGGGUGUUUUAAAACUUUUUGACUAUUUAAAAGGUAAAACGCACAAAUGAAUGAACUAAAGCAAAGAUAGAGGUAUGAAAACAACCAAUCGCAAACACACGGUUUUAUAGUGGUUCGGAGCUUCCACUGCUCCUACAUCCACUCCCCAAAGCACCUUUGGGAAUUUCCACUAUAAUCCAAGAUUACAGUCCGGUAGUUUUGCGAGUGCACUACCCAACUCGUUGUUUUACACCGGGCUAACAACAAAUCCUAUAACCCCCAAUUUUACCUAGGC
rnacentral:lncRNA from 1 species